rnacentral:lncRNA from 1 species
AUAUGGUUAUUUAAAGAAUAUUUGGAGGCAUUAGCUUCUUUGUUGGGGAGAGUGUGACCACCCUACAUAUAGUUUGGGUCACAUAUUAAAUUAUUUAUAUAUAUUUCCUUUUUAUUUUUACAUAUGUUCAUUUCUAUUUACAUGUAUAUAUAAGUUUUAUUUUAAUUACUUAAAUGUAUGAUGAGUUUGCACUGAAUAGUUCAGCUGCAUUUUCUGAACUCUGGGUGGCAGUUGAGAGAGUAGAGUUACCAUGACGACUGCAGCGCAUCCUCAGACAACAAAGAGGACCAUUAAGGAAACAACUAACUCUUGUCUCUCUCUCUCAUUUAAUGUCAAGGUUAGUUAAAUUAAUUACAUUUCAUUGUAAUUUACAUGUUUUAAUGUCCAAAUAAUUUGUUUCAAUUGAUUAUUUAUUUUAUUAAUAAUUUUAAGACACUUACAGUAUGUCAUAGAAAAGUUUACUCAUGUAACAUUAUCACUUACCUGAAAUAAGUUACUCACUUGAGUUGUUUACUUAAGAUACUUAACAUUACCUGAAUUCAGGCCAGUUGUAAGAAUUAGGGCUGUACAUUUGGUUAAGGUUGUUAUCAUUUAUUUAUUUAUUUAUUUAUUGUUUAUUUGAUCUAUACAGUGUGUAUUAUUUUGUACCAACAUGUUUAUGAAUCAUUUUGUGAUUCAAAGUGUCUUACUGACUCUGAAAUGCAAAUUUGUAUGUGUAUUAAAAGACAACAAAGAGGACCGUUAAGGAAACAACUAACUCUUGUCUCUCUCUCUCAUUUAAUGUCAAGUUGAUUACUGCUUACAGUCUUCCCGACUGCCCGGGACCUGUAACAUCAUUUCUAAAUGAAGUAUAGCAUUAUUUACAAACCAGUUAUUUAGGAGUUGCCAGUGAUUCAUAAGAUCACAAGAAAUUGUAAGUAAAUGUAGUAAAUUCAGGUAGUUAUAAAGCAUUUAGUAGUGGUCAGUUAACUAUUUAUGUGAGCUCAUCUAAAGUGAGGACUAGUUAUGCCUUGUCGCAUCACCACAUAACCA